GUGCUCGCUUCACAGCACAUAUACUAAAAUUGGAAUGAUACAGAGAAGAUUAGCAUGGCCCCUGUGCAAGGAUGACAUGCAAAUUCAUGAAGUGUUCCUAUUUUUG
rnacentral:snRNA from 1 species